UACGUAGGGUGCGAGCGUUGUCCGGAAUUAUUGGGCGUAAAGAGCUCGUAGGCGGGGUGUCACGUCGGCCGUGAAAACCUGCAGCUUAACUGUGGGCGUGCGGUCGAUACGGGCAUCACUGGAGUUCGGCAGGGGAGACUGGAAUUCCUGGUGUAGCGGUGAAAUGCGCAGAUAUCAGGAGGAACACCGGUGGCGAAGGCGGGUCUCUGGGCCGAUACUGACGCUGAGGAGCGAAAGCGUGGGGAGCAAACAGG
rnacentral:rRNA from 1 species